UGGUGGAAGACGCGUGGCAAAAGUACAGUGGUCGACCGUCCAGAGUGGGUUGGUGUAGUGCGUCCGGCCGAGCGCGCACUGGUAUAGUGGAGACGUGCGUUCGGCUGAGUGGAGCACUCACCUCUUAAUUUAAUUCUGAUAGAUCUCUCUCUUCACCCUCUUUCCUUCAGUUUCUCAGAUUCAAUUCUCUCCUCCUUCUCUCUUCACUCUCUGCACCCUUCUCUCUCUAAGAAAUCACCACUGCACCUCCUCCAUUCCACACUCCGGCAAGAUUGAAGGACGCUCGGCGUAGGAGUUCCAGAGAGAACGUUCGACUGGUGAAGCUGUGGAUUAACGAGCGCUUGUUAUUGGAAUUUGAGUAGAGAAUCUGUGAACGUUCGUCAUUUCCGGAGGGAGAUGAGCGUUUGGAAGAAGCAUUGAAUGAAGAGAGCCUGGUUGAUGUUGAAGUGAAGAUCGAGCAGUGAGAUCGCUCGGCCAGUAUUGUAUUUAGUUGAAUUGAGUGGUCGUUCGACCAUCUCUUGUUUUCUUUUGAGUUAAUUCGACCGUUCAGUAAUUAUCCUGUGUAAACCGUUCGGUCAG